CAGUAGCCGCGGUAAAACAGAGGGUGCGAGCGUUAAUCGGAUUUACUGGGCGUAAAGCGUGCGUAGGCGGCUUCUUAAGUCGGAUGUGAAAUCCCUGAGCUUAACUUAGGAAUUGCAUUCGAUACUGGGAAGCUAGAGUAUGGGAGAGGAUGGUAGAAUUCCAGGUGUAGCGGUGAAAUGCGUAGAGAUCUGGAGGAAUACCGAUGGCGAAGGCAGCCAUCUGGCCUAAUACUGACGCUGAGGUACGAAAGCAUGGGGAGCAAACAGGAUUAGAUACCCGAGUAGUCCCUGUCUCUUAUAA
rnacentral:rRNA from 1 species